UACGUAGGGUGCGAGCGUUAAUCGGAAUUACUGGGCGUAAAGCGUGCGCAGGCGGUUUUGUAAGCCAGAUGUGAAAUCCCCGGGCUUAACCUGGGAAUGGCAUUUGGGACUGCAAGGCUUGAGUGUGGCAGAGGGGGGUGGAAUUCCGCGUGUAGCAGUGAAAUGCGUAGAGAUGCGGAGGAACACCGAUGGCGAAGGCAGCCCCCUGGGCUGACACUGACGCUCAGGCACGAAAGCGUGGGGAGCAAACAGG
rnacentral:rRNA from 1 species